CCCUUAGAUGUUCUGGGCUGCACGCGCGCUACACUGACACGUUCAACGAGUUGUUGCCUGGACCGAGAGGUUUGGGAAAUCUUUUGAAAUCGUGUCGUGAUAGGGAUAGAUUAUUGCAAUUAUUAAUCUUCAACGAGGAAUUCCUAGUAAACGCAAGUCAACAGCUUGCGCUGAUUACGUCCCUGCCCUUUGUACACACCGCCCGUCGCUCCUACCGAUUGGGUGAUCCGGUGAAUGGUUCGGACUCUGGCUAUGCUAGCUACUAGCUACGUCAGGGAAAGUUCUGUGAACCUUAUCACUUGGAGGAAGGAGAAGUCGUAACA
rnacentral:rRNA from 1 species